rnacentral:snRNA from 1 species
AUACUUACCUGGUGUCGGAGUGUUGCUGGUCAAGACUGGCGCGCUUCCCCGGCGAGGCGCGGCGUUCACUGCGCCCGGUGCUUGACCCCCAUGCCCCUCUACGCCCAAUAACAACCGACCCCAAACUGGGGCAGAUGGGGCAUGCAAUUUUUGGUAGUGGGGGGACUGCGUGCGCGCUUUCCCCCC